ensembl:misc_RNA 7SK 7SK RNA
GGAUGUGCGGGCGAUCUGGCUGCGACAUCUGUCACCCCAUUGAUCGCCAGGGUUGAUUCGGCUGACCUGGCUGGCUAGGCAGGUGUCCUCUUCCUCCCUCACCGCUCCAUGUGCGUCCCUCCCAAAGCUGCGCGCUCAGUCGAAGAGGACGACUAUCCCUGCUAGAGGAGGACCGGUCUUAGGUCAAGGGUACGCGAGUAGCUGCGCUGCCCUGCUAGAACCUCCCAACAAGCUCUGAAGAAUAAGGGGAACAGGAUUUAUAAGCAUCUUCAUGAGCAUGUGUGUGCUUAUGCAA